rnacentral:misc_RNA from 1 species
GGAAGUAAAAGUCGUAACAAGAUUUCCGUAGGUGAGCCUGCGGAAGGAUCAUUAUUGUAUAACCGAGGUGCGAGGGCUGUCGCUGACCCGAAAGGUCGUGCACGCCCGAGUGCCCUCACACACAUCCAUCUCACCCCUAUGUGCACCACCGCGUGGGUCCCCCUUUGGCUUGUUCGGAGGGGGGCUUACGUUUUCACACAAACUUUGUAUGCAGUGUAGAAUGUAUUUUUUGUUUUUGCGAUCACGCAAUCAAUACAACUUUCAACAACGGAUCUCUUGGCUCUC